CGCGUAGGUGGUUCACCAAGUGGGAUGUGAAAGCCCGAGGCUUAACCUCGGAACUGCAUUCCAAACUGACGAACUAGAGUACGGUAGAGGGAGGUAGAAUUCAGAGUGUAGCGGUGAAAUGCGUAGAUAUUCUGAGGAAUACCAGUGGCGAAGGCGGCCUCCUGGACUGAUACUGACACUGAGGUGCGAAAGCGUGGGGAGCAAACA
rnacentral:rRNA from 1 species